GGAAUUAUUGGGCGUAAAGAGCUCGUAGGCGGUUUGUCGCGUCUGCUGUGAAAUCCCGAGGGCUCAACCUCGGGCUUGCAGUGGGUACGGGCAGACUAGAGUGCGGUAGGGGGAGAUUGGAAUUUCCUGGUGUAGCGGUGGAAAUGCGCCAGAUAUCAGGAGGAACACCGAUGGCGAAGGCAGAUCUCUGGGCCGUAACUGACGCUGAGGAGCGAAAGCGUGGGGAGCGAACAGGAUUAGAUACCCUGGUAGUCCACGCCGUAAACGUUGGGCGCUAGAUGUAGGGACCUUUCCACGGUUUCUGUGUCGUAGCUAACGCAUUAAGCGCCCCGCCUGGGGAGUACGGCCGCAAGGCUAAAACUCAAAGGAAUUGACGGGGGCCCGCACAAGCGGCGGAGCAUGCGGAUUAAUUCGAUGCAACGCGAAGAACCUUACCAAGGCUUGACAUACACCGGAAACGGCCAGAGAUGGUCGCCCCCUUGUGGUCGGUGUACAGGUGGUGCAUGGUUGUCGUCAGCUCGUGUCGUGAGAUGUUGGGUUAAGUCCCGCAACGAGCGCAACCCUCGUUCUAUGUUGCCAGCGCGUUAUGGCGGGGACUCAUAGGAGACUGCCGGGGUCAACUCGGAGGAAGGUGGGGAUGACGUCAAAUCAUCAUGCCCCUUAUGUCUUGGGCUUCACGCAUGCUACAAUGGCCGGUACAAAGGGCUGCGAUACCGUAAGGUGGAGCGAAUCCCAAAAAGCCGGUCUCAGUUCGGAUUGAGGUCUGC
rnacentral:rRNA from 1 species